rnacentral:rRNA from 1 species
CGUGGGUAACCUGCCUGUAAGACUGGGAUAACUCCGGGAAACCGGAGCUAAUACCGGAUAGUUCCUUGAACCGCAUGGUUCAAGGAUGAAAGACGGUUUCGGCUGUCACUUACAGAUGGACCCGCGGCGCAUUAGCUAGUUGGUGGGGUAAUGGCUCACCAAGGCGACGAUGCGUAGCCGACCUGAGAGGGUGAUCGGCCACACUGGGACUGAGACACGGCCCAGACUCCUACGGGAGGCAGCAGUAGGGAAUCUUCCGCAAUGGACGAAAGUCUGACGGAGCAACGCCGCGUGAGUGAUGAAGGUUUUCGGAUCGUAAAGCUCUGUUGUUAGGGAAGAACAAGUGCGAGAGUAACUGCUCGCACCUUGACGGUACCUAACCAGAAAGCCACGGCUAACUACGUGCCAGCAGCCGCGGUAAUACGUAGGUGGCAAGCGUUGUCCGGAAUUAUUGGGCGUAAAGGGCUCGCAGGCGGUUUCUUAAGUCUGAUGUGAAAGCCCCCGGCUCAACCGGGGAGGGUCAUUGGAAACUGGGAAACUUGAGUGCAGAAGAGGAGAGUGGAAUUCCACGUGUAGCGGUGAAAUGCGUAGAGAUGUGGAGGAACACCAGUGGCGAAGGCGACUCUCUGGUCUGUAACUGACGCUGAGGAGCGAAAGCGUGGGGAGCGAACAGGAUUAGAUACCCUGGUAGUCCACGCCGUAAACGAUGAGUGCUAAGUGUUAGGGGGUUUCCGCCCCUUAGUGCUGCAGCUAACGCAUUAAGCACUCCGCCUGGUGAGUACGGUCGCAAGACUGAAACU